rnacentral:lncRNA from 9 species
UUUUUUUUUUUUCUUUUUGUCUUUUUGUCUUUUUGUUGUUGUUGUUGCUAUUUCUUGGGCCGCUCCCGCGGCAUAUGGAGGUUCCCAGGCUAGGGGUUGAAUCGGAGCUGUAGCCACCGGCCUACGCCAGAGCCACAGCAACGUGGGAUCCGAGCCGCGUCUGCAACCUACACCACAGCUCACGGCAACGCCGGAUCGUUAACCCACUGAGCAAGGGCAGGGACCGAACCCGCAACCUCAUGGUUCCUAGUCGGAUUCGUUAACCACUGCACCACGACGGGAACUCCAAGAUUUGCUAUUUUAUUUUUUGAAGUUCUACUAUUGUUUUAUUACUGUUACAUAAGAAUUAUAGAACAGAAUUUUAUAUAUGUCAUGCAUUUUGUAAAACUUUUCUAUUAAACCAAGACAAACCCUCAGUUCUAAGAUGUACUGUGAUAUCAGAGAUGUUAAAAUGUGAAAGAAUAUGCACCUUAACUUUGAUGAAAAGUGAUAUAAUCUCCACAUUACAAAUGAAGAAACAGACUUCAUGAGGUUAAGAUGCCAAAGGUCACAUGGUUAGCCAAGGGGGACAUCCAGGGCUCACAUUCAGGUGGGUCUGACUUGAAGUCCAUGCUCUUAACUAUUUGAUGAGUGUGUCUCAGUUUGUGUUUAUGCCCCAGAAAGUGAAAUUAAGUAUCUUCUUGUUGUUAAGUUGAUCAUCAGUAUGCUGCAGAGUGAUAACUUAAAUCUCAGGGUGAUUUUUCAAGAUUUGCUCACCCAAUAAGGCCAAAGAGGCCAAGAAAAAGAAACCAAUUUCUACCUCAUUUGCAGCUAUGUAGGUAGCUUCAACAUUACAGCUUUCAAGUGAUGAAUUCUGUCUCUUUGUCCUGGAAUCAACCUUCAUUUUAGCUUAUAAAAUGAAAAAGAACAUUUUUUCAUACAAAAUAAGAUCUUUCUUUCUGAAGACAUUGCUUGGCCUGCUGUUCAGUUUACAAGCAAAUUACAAUUUCUCUACUUUUAAUAACUCAAGAUGUUUCAUAACUUUGUCAUAGUUUGAGAUUUGAGAACAAGCAAACAAGACCACACGAAGCUUAAAGAAGCACAGAGCAAUUUCAUAAAAAUGUUUUUAGCAAUAAAGACCCACAAGACAGAAAAAUAGAACAUGCAUACAUACUCAACUCAGAGUCCCCAUUUUUUUUUCUUCCUUCCUUCCUUCCUUUUCUUUUCUUUCUUUCUUUUUCCAGGAGGCAACAGCAACUUUAAAAUUGUCUUCCUCCUAUGUAGGAUUACACAUGCACUGUACACAACUUCAGUUCCUGUUCUAAAAGCACACGAUGAGCCAUUGUUUUAUGAUUGUCUCUUGAGGAUGAGGAAAAAUGUUACUGGUAGUCUGAAAGAAUAGGUUUUAAUAUGGGCAUUUAAUUUUCUUUCCAUAUACUCCCUGAUUAAAACAAGGUUUGCCCCAUUUUUCUAUUUUUCUUUUAAAAGCUCACUUUACCCACAUUAACAAAACAACAUACUGACUAUGGUAGUGACUUAGCUUUGACUGCCCUAAGUUAGAUCGAACUUGGAUCUAUCUCUUAUACUGUGUCUAGGCAUUGGACACAGUAUGACAAAAUUUAAUUUUUAGUUAUAAAAAAUUAUUUGUCUCCCCAAAUGUUAAACUGAAUGGUGAUAUAGUUUAUUGAUAUAGUUGUUUUAAAAUUAGUUAAUAAGAAUAUAAAAAGAAAUGUACUGCUCUUUAGCAGUUACUAAAAUGAGCAAAACAUUUAAAUCCACAAAGACCCUGAGCAGUUAAGCAAAACAUGAUAAUAAUAUUGUUUCUGGGCUAUAGAAAUAAUAUACUAUUUUUUAAAAAGUCCAAAAAAUACAAAGGAGAAAGUAAAAACAUCUCAAAUACAACUUCCGAGAUUGUUAUAGUUCAGUGAGAUUAGAGAAAUUGCAAAAGAGUGGCAGUUUGGAUUCAAACCAGGUUUAAUUGUAAACCACAUUCUUUUUUUUCUUUUUUCUUUUUUAAACUAUGCUACCUUUCUGUUAUCACUUUAAACUAUACUCACUGGGAGCUAGAUCAACAAAUGUACUUUGAUUUGAAGAGGACUGAAUAUGGACUAUUCUGAUAAGAUUUAACACAGACAUAAACAUAGCCAGAAAAGAAAAUGUUAGAAUGUUCACAGAUUGGAAGCCUGGGCUUGGGUCCAGUUAUUCAUACACUAGAAUAAAUGUCUGAGUUGUGUUGGGAUUACAUGGUCAGUUCUAAUCUAUUCAGUUUCACUGACAUGAACUCUUACUAUGUCCUGGAUACUGUGUGAAGUAUUUUAUAUACAGCAUUUCUUCCCACUAACUCUGCAAGUUAGGUAUUAUUGGCACCUGCUUUAAAGAUGAGAAAACUGGAGCUUAGAUAGGUUAGGAGACUUUUUCUGGCAAAUGGUGGAGCUGAGGUAUGUACUCAGGUCUGUGCAUCCCAAAGUUAUGUUCUUGCCGUGGUGCUAUCCGAAGAAUACCUGAUCCCCAUCUUCAAGGAACCUACAGUCUAAUAGGAUAUGAGGUAAUUAUAGAAAUAACUAAAACAUAAUAAAGAAUACAAAAUCAACCAUCCAAAGGUAUAAACAGCACGUUAUGAGAAUUCAAAUCCAGAGAAACCAAUCUACAUGUGUGUGGGACUUAGGAGUGAGAGGAGAUGGGGAGCAGGAAAACACUCCCAAGUAAGAGCCUGAAUGGGAAAAGGGACUUAAAAGAAGGAUAAAAUAGAUAUGAUGAAGACUGGGUGAAACAAAGGUGGGUCACGAAGAGGAAACAGGAAAUCUCAUGUGUUGGUUACAUAUAAGGAGUAGGAAGUAGAGAUCAAGUUAGAAAGGUGACUUUGGCUACAACUUUGAAGGUUUUGAGGCUCAAGGGGAGGAGUCUGUACGUAAUUCACCAGGUACUGAGGCUCACUCGAAAGUUUCUGAGUGGAAGGAUACCUUAGGAAGAUUGAUCAGGUAGUACUGUGGAGAGGAAACAGGCCAAUUCAUUGAAAGCCAAUUCCUUUGGCUUUCAGGAAGAUACAUUUCAAGGAUGAAAAACUGAGACUUGUAGGGGCUAAGUAGCUUACCAAAAGUCAUAGUAAAGAGAAAAGCCAGGAUUUGAAUCAAGUCCCUCCAACUCCAGAGCCAUACUCUGACCUCUAGGCCCACCUACUUCAAGUAAGGUUCAUGGACCAUAUAGCAUCAGCUCCCAGGAAAUCUGAAUGCUUAUUAGAAAUGCAGACCUACUAAAUCAGAAUCUGCAUUUUCAUGUGAUAUAUGCACAUUAAACUACUAAGCUACGUUUUUUUCCCUUAUAAUGACCUAUACAAUUAACUGGAAAAAUCAUUUAGUUGGCAGCAAAUCCAAUUGUUUGGGGGAUUAUAUUAGAUAGUUUCCUCACAUAAAAGGUAAGAACUACCUAAGAAAAGGGGGCCUUCUAGGUUUUGUUCCACUGGGAAGCAAGUUGCGAAUUUAAAAACUGAAAUUAUAACUGGAUGUGUGGCUUUGGGCAGGUCACUUAACCUCUUUGAAUUUUAGUUUCCUUAUCUGCAUAACAUUUAGCCUGUAAGAAUCAAAUGAAAUGGUAUCUGUGAAAAGAACUUAUCAACUGAGAAAUCAUUAUAAACAUAUGAAGUGUUGUUAUGAGGAGACAUAGCUAUAAAGUGCCCUAUUUCAAAAAAAAAAAAAAAAAAGAUGGGGGAGAGAGGGAACGGAAGGGAGGGAGGGAAAGAAAGGAAGGAAAAGAGGAAAGGGUAAAAAGAAAAGCAGGGACAAUAUACAAAAGUAAACUGAAGGAAAAUCAGUUGCUGAAGCAGGGAUUUUGAAGAACUGAUGGGUAAAAGGUAAAGGAGUCCAGGAAAUCUAAUUUGGGUUCCACAUAGGUAUUUUUGAAAAUACAGAGACCACAUUGCAUAUGGAAUUAGGAAGAGAAACAAGGGCCUGUGUGGUCUUGGCCCAAGGUAACAAACUUGAGGCCGGUAAAGCCAUAAAAAAAAAAAAAGUCAGGAGUUCCCGUCGUGGCGCAGUGGUUAACGAAUCCGACUAGGAACCAUGAGGUUUCGGGUUCGAUCCCUGGCCUUGCUCAGUGAUUUAAGGAUCCGGCGUUGCUGUGAGCUGUGGUGUGGGUCGCAGACGUGGCUUAGAUUGCGUGUUGCUGUGGCUCUGGUGUAGGCCGGAAGUUACAGCUGCGACUCGACCCCUCGCCUGGGAACCUCCAUAUGCUGUGGGAGUGGCUCCAGAAAAAGGCAAAAAGACAAAAAAGAAAAAAAAAAGAUACCUGGAUGGGGGAAAACCCCUUAAAAUUUAUCAACAGAUAGAAUGGGAUAGUGUGCUAAUCAACAAUUUUUAGAUAUAGUUUCACAUAUAUGAUAGAUAAACUGAAUUUUUUUUUUGAGGAGUGGCAGUAAAUGCAUAAGCUCUGGGUUUGCUGAACUUCUGAAGGACAUGUGCCUGUAAUUGGCCUUUCUCAUUUCUGUCUUGUUAACAAGUAUAUAAAUAAGAGAAGGCUUCAGUAAUUGGCUCAGAGUUACUAAUGAAUUAAUUAACUUCAGUCUAUUUUACCUAACCUUUAAUAAUAAGAGUCUUUUUAUUUAUUUAUUUUUUUUGGGUCCAGCAAUAGGUCUGACAGACUGAAAAAACAGACAUGCAGCAAAGCUCUUGAAAAUUAAUGAGAAACGAGGAAAGAAUCAAUGUACAUUCUGCUUGCAGAGAACUGACACAAAAAAGACACAAUAAACCAUGAACAAACACAGUCAGUUUAAAAAAAUAGGUUAGAAAAAGUGGGCAAAUUCAAUUAUAGAAGUAAUUAGAAGAUAUAGGGCAAGGCUGCCUUUUGGGACCGUGCCAGAAAACAUGAAUUAAUAUGAGUGAAUAGAAAGAACCCAUGUAGUAAUUAAGAAGCAAUCACCUAUGGCAAUGAGUACCUGAAAACAGGCUGCAAACUAUUAAUUCAGUGAUCAAAAAUAUUUUUAGAUGAUUAAUAUGGCAAAUUUAUUUUAAAAGACUAAUUUCUGGAAAGAUAUCAAGACAAUAGCACACUAUUUGUUCAUCUGGCAUUUAUAUAGCUAAUUAAAUUUUAUAAUUUGCAACAACAGUCAUUAUUAUCUGAAAACAGUAAAAGCAAUAUUUCACCUCCGUUUUUUAAAAAACAGUCGUUCUAAAAUCAAUAAAUCCAGCUCCUGCUGUCCUCCUGUAACUGCCUAGGCUUUGAUUGUUACAUUUUUUCAGGGUGCAUUUUUCUUCUAAGUCUGUUUCAGUAAUAUUAAGCAUUUGAAAGAAUGUACAUAUUCUCAAAGGUUUUAUAUGUUCCUAUGCCUGGGCAGGGAUUCCACACACUGUUUAAUUUCCACACUAUCAAAUAAAAGCAGUUUAAUGUACUAUUUGUGCAUCAAAGACUUUCUUACUUGGUCAACAGAGGUCUGUUACUUCAGUACACACCAUUCCUCCCCCUGAAUACAAAGGCAUAGACACGUUAUAGUGAAGAGUGCUUACAACACACAGAAGGCUAAUGGCUUCUGAAAUAGGUGAUUAUCAGAGCCCCGUAGAGCAAGAUGAGGGUCUGGCUGGUAAUAAAUAACCUCGCAAUAUGAAUUAUUCUAUUUCCACAGCUUUAAGAAAAUGUAUGUUUCAUUUGUUGAUCAGAAAUGUCUGAAAAAUGCUGUCUUUUUGGAAAUGACAGGGAGCUACUAAAAUGAAUCAGUGUGCCAGUGGGGAGUUACUGAGCACCUACUAAGGGCCUAAAGCACAAAAAUAAAUUUUGAAAUGCUAACCUUGUAACAUAUUUGUGUGUCUAUGUGUAUGAUUUCCUUUUAGAAGUCAAUAAAGAGAAACCUUUGUAUGCCACGCUUUAGAGAUGCUAGGUUUUUAAUUACUAAAUUUGCUCAUGGGAUUAUUGCUGUUUUGGAGGUUAAGGUAUAGAUUCAUUACCUAAAAACAAGAUCAAGCUAGAAACUCAUUGAGAGGACUACUGUAGAGGGCAUGGAGGUAAAAAAUACAGGUAUUUGAGAAGAUUUUUAACAAGAUACCAGAUCGAGCAGAUAUUAGGUCUGUCCAGUUCACUCAUAAUUUGUAAUGCUCUCAUUUUCUUAAACUAGGUACUUUUGAAAAGAACGCAGAAGAGAUAGCCUCUGGCAGAGGUUUGUCAUUCUCUGCUUCAUGCUGUUAAUUAUCCGAACUUAGGUAUGACAACAGCAAACAACCAGCUCCUCUGCUAGCUAGAUGAUGCUGAUGACAGAAAGCUCCCCAAGAGGCAGGCAAUUGGGAACUACUGAAGUGAGUAUAGCUUAGAGGUGUGGAGCUGAGAAGGGCUGUUGGCUGAACAGGACCCGCUCACCAUGAAAUGUUAAUGUGUCAAUGAAGGGGAAAAGCAUGAAUGAACUACAAAAAAGCUGAAAAUGACUCAGCUGGUUGGAGAUGGAAUUUGGCUCUUUGCCAAAGUAAGGUGUUCAAGGGCACACACCAUAACACCUAGGGAAAAAAAAUCCUGCCCCCUGAAUUUGAAAAGAGAAAAUAUUUUGAAGAAAGAAGACAGAUAGCUUUUUUUCAUUAGAAAUAAACUUCCUUUUUUUUUUUUUUUUCUUUCUUUCUUUCUUCCCUUCCAGGCAGCAAACUUUUUCUGAGUUCUUUCUUUUUGCCAGGCUUUGAUUAGGAAUGAGGAAGGAAGAGAGGGAGAAUGGAAUAUAAAGAUAAAUGUGACCCAGCCCCUCUCUGAAAGCUCUUAUCCUAGAAAAAGGACAGAUGUAAGGAACUAUAAAAAAGGUGAAAUAAGUGCAAAGGAGGGAAAAGGUAAAUUGUAGGGAUAGUGCAAAGGAAGG